rnacentral:lncRNA from 1 species
AUCGCAACGAGGGCGAAAGAAACAAGGAUUAGUUGUUAGUCGUUAGUCAAACUCGGCAAGACAUCGCGUCUUGUGCCUACGUAUCUCAUCUGAACAUGAGAAUCAGAGUUGCCGAGUUCGGCUAACACGCACACAAACAAACACAGGCAAACGUGGAGCCUGACUGCCAAUCACUGGACUUACAUCAGCAUCCGAACCAAAAC